GGCCGCGUAGCUCAAUUUGGUAGAGCAGCUGACUCUUAAUCAGCGGGUUGGGGGUUCGAGUCCCUCCGCGGUCA
rnacentral:tRNA from 1 species